UACGUAGGUGGCAAGCGUUGUCCGGAAUUAUUGGGCGUAAAGCGCGCGCAGGCGGUCCUUUAAGUCUGAUGUGAAAGCCCACGGCUCAACCGUGGAGGGUCAUUGGAAACUGGGGGACUUGAGUGCAGGAGAGAAGAGUGGAAUUCCUGGUGGAGCGGUGAAAUGCGCAGAUAUCAGGAGGAACACCCGUAGCGAAGGCGGCACUCUGGGCCGGAACUGACGCUGAGGAGCGAAAGCGUGGGGAGCGAACAGG
rnacentral:rRNA from 1 species